rnacentral:rRNA from 1 species
AUUGAACGCUGGCGGCAUGCUUUACACAUGCAAGUCGAACGGUAACAGGCCUUCGGGUGCUGACGAGUGGCGAACGGGUGAGUAAUGCAUCGGAACGUGCCCAAUCGUGGGGGGAUAACGUAGCGAAAGUUACGCUAAUACCGCAUAAGCCCUGAGGGGGAAAGUGGGGGACCGCAAGGCCUCACGCGGAUGGAGCGGCCGAUGUCAGAUUAGCUAGUUGGUGGGGUAAAGGCCCACCAAGGCGACGAGUCUGUAGCGGGUCUGAGAGGAUGAUCCGCCACACUGGGACUGAGACACGGCCCAGACUCCUACGGGAGGCAGCAGUGGGGAAUUUUGGACAAUGGGCGCAAGCCUGAUCCAGCCAUGCCGCGUGCGGGACGAAGGCCU